AAUAGAUACUGGAAGGUUCUAUUUUCAAAAGUUCCGAUGCCUGAGGAUAGGACUGCGGUGGAUUAGGCUGUUGUGGGUAUAAAGGACCCACAAACCUAUAAUCCAUGCGGGCGUUGAGAGACGGAGCCCGGAGAUGCGUUCUGAGACAAGAAUGCAGGUCCUACGGGACGCAGCAGUCGCGAAAACUUUACAAUACCUGAAAGGGUGAUAAGGGAAUCCUGAGUGCUCCAGCAUUGCUGGAGCUUUUCUAGAGUGUAAAAAGCUUUGGGAAUAAGUGGUGGGUAAGACGGGUGCCAGCCGCCGCGGUAAUACCCGCGCCACGAGUGGUAAUCACGGUUAUUGGGUCUAGAGCGUUCGUAGCCGGCUUAGAAAAUUCUUGGUGAAAUUUCACGUAAAACAUGGAAAGUGCCAGGAACACUUCUGGGCUAGGAACCGGGAAAGGCUAGGGGUACUCCGAGGGUAAGGGUUAAAUCUUGUAAUCCUUGGAGGACCACCUGUGGCGAAGGCGCCUAGCUGGAACGGCUUCGACGGUGAGGGACGAAAGCCUGGGUCGCAAACGGGAUUAGAUACCCCGGUAGUCCAGGCUGUAAACGAUGCCCGCUUGAUGUAUCGCUCCUUUCGAAGGGGCGAUGUGUCGUAGCGUAGGUGUUAAGCGGGCCACCUGGGGAGUACGGUCGCAA
rnacentral:rRNA from 1 species